rnacentral:rRNA from 1 species
UAGAGUUUGAUCAUGGCUCAGAACGAACGCUGGCGGCGUGGAUAAGACAUGCAAGUCGAACGAGAGAAUUGCUAGCUUGCUAAUAAUUCUCUAGUGGCGCACGGGUGAGUAACACGUGAGUAACCUGCCCCCGAGAGCGGGAUAGCCCUGGGAAACUGGGAUUAAUACCGCAUAGUAUCGAAAGAUUAAAGCAGCAAUGCGCUUGGGGAUGGGCUCGCGGCCUAUUAGUUAGUUGGUGAGGUAACGGCUCACCAAGGCGAUGACGGGUAGCCGGUCUGAGAGGAUGUCCGGCCACACUGGAACUGAGACACGGUCCAGACACCUACGGGUGGCAGCAGUCGAGAAUCAUUCACAAUGGGGGAAACCCUGAUGGUGCGACGCCGCGUGGGGGAAUGAAGGUCUUCGGAUUGUAAACCCCUGUCAUGUGGGAGCAAAUUAAAAAGAUAGUACCACAAGAGGAAGAGACGGCUAACUCUGUGCCAGCAGCCGCGGUAAUACAGAGGUCUCAAGCGUUGUUCGGAAUCACUGGGCGUAAAGCGUGCGUAGGCUGUUUCGUAAGUCGUGUGUGAAAGGCGCGGGCUCAACCCGCGGACGGCACAUGAUACUGCGAGACUAGAGUAAUGGAGGGGGAACCGGAAUUCUCGGUGUAGCAGUGAAAUGCGUAGAUAUCGAGA